rnacentral:rRNA from 1 species
UACAGAGGUCUCAAGCGUUGUUCGGAUUCAUUGGGCGGUAAAGGGUGCGUAGGCGGCGCGGUAAGUCGGGGUGUGGAAGUCUCGGGGCUUAACUCCGAAACUGCAUUCGAUACUGCCGUGCUUGAGGACUGGAGAGGAGACUGGAAUUUACGGUGUAGCGGUGAAAAUGCGUAGAUAUCGUAAGGAAGACCAGUGGCGAAGGCGGGUCUCUGG